ensembl:Mt_tRNA
GUUAAAGUGGCAGAGCCCGGACAUUGCAAAAGACCUAAGCCCUUUCCACGGAGGUUCAAACCCUCCCUUUAACU